CAAGGACACUUCAGCCUUCCUACUGGUCGGUGUUCGAACCGGCAACCCUCCGGUUACAACCCCGAUGCCCUAACCAUUAGGCCACA